GACGAACGCUGGCGGCGUGCUUAACACAUGCAAGUCGAACGGAAAGGCCCUGCUUUUGUGGGGUGCUCGAGUGGCGAACGGGUGAGUAACACGUGAGUAACCUGCCCUUGACUUUGGGAUAACUUCAGGAAACUGGGGCUAAUACCGGAUAGGAGCUCCUGCUGCAUGGUGGGGGUUGGAAAGUUUCGGCGGUUGGGGAUGGACUCGCGGCUUAUCAGCUUGUUGGUGGGGUAGUGGCUUACCAAGGCUUUGACGGGUAGCCGGCCUGAGAGGGUGACCGGCGACAUGGGGACUGAGAUACGGCCCAGACUCCUACGGGAGGCAGCAGUGGGGAAUAUUGCGCAGUGGGCGGAAGCCUGAUGCAGCAACGCCGCGUGCGUGAUGACGGCCUUCGGGUUGUAAACCGCUUUCGCCUGUGACGAAGCGUGAGUGACGGUAAUGGGUAAAGAAGCACCGGCUAACUACGUG
rnacentral:rRNA from 1 species